CUUUCGUUAUCCACCGUCUGUCGAUGUUUCCUGCUUUAAGUACUCUGUGUGGUGAUUAAAACACGGCAGGAAAAUGAUGGAGUCUUGUUUGGGUGGGAAGCCGGAGAGAGUCGGUCCGGUGGUGGUGGAUGACAUCAAGAGAGAUCUGCUGGGUGAAUUCACUGCUCUUCCUGCACAGGAAAACGUUCAGUCGGAGAACCUGCAGGUGUACCUGAGGGUUCGACCUUUCACAGCAGCAGAGAGCGAUAACGGAGGGUCACAGG